rnacentral:rRNA from 1 species
UGCCUACGGGGCGCAGCAGUGGGGAAUAUUGCACAAUGGGGGAAACCCUGAUGCAGCAACGCCGCGUGAAGGAAGACGGUUUUCGGAUCGUAAACCUCUGUCAGGAGGGAAGAAAGCGCAUGGCGCCAAUCAGCCAUGCGUUGACGGUACCUCCAAAGGAAGCGCCGGCUAACUCCGUGCCAGCAGCCGCGGUAAUACGGAGGGCGCGAGCGUUAGUCGGAAUUACUGGGCGUAAAGCGCGCGUAGGCUGUUGUGUAAGU